rnacentral:rRNA from 1 species
AGCGAACGCUGGCGGCGUGCUUAACACACGCAAGUCGAGCGAAGGUGUUUCAAGGGUAACCUUGAGAUACACUUAGCGGCGGACGGGUGAGUAAUACGUGGAUAACUUACCUCUAGGCCCUGGGAUAACCCCGGGAAACUGGGGCUAAUACCUGAUAAGACCACAUUGUCUACGGACGAAAGGGGUAAAAGGUGGCUGUGCAAACAGCUAUCGCCAAAAGAUAGGUUCACGUCCCAUCAGGCAG